UUCACGUCACCCUAAAAAAACCGGUUCGUGUACGAUCACCGAAGUUAAGCAACGUCGAACCUGGUCAAUACCUAGAUGGGUGAUCGCUUGGGAAUACCAGGUGCUGUAA